rnacentral:other from 1 species
AAGAUUCUGUUGUGUACGCCUUGUUCAUAUUGCAGGUUUGCCUUACAACCUUUUAUAUAGGGAUUUGUGUUUCAGGAUAGUAGACAACAUGCCCUUUCACUCGGUAGUUGAAAGCUAUCCACCGAAUCCCACCUGUCUUAACUACAGGUCAACACUGUCGAACAAAUAACGGCACUAACGGAGUCUUC